rnacentral:rRNA from 1 species
UACGUAGGUGGCAAGCGUUGUCCGGAUUUAUUGGGUUUAAAGGGUGCGUAGGCGGCGCGGUAAGUCGGGUGUGAAAUCUCGGGGCUUAACUCCGAAACUGCAUUCGAUACUGCCGUGCUUGAGGACUGGAGAGGAGACUGGAAUUUACGGUGUAGCGGUGAAAUGCGUAGAUAUCGUAAGGAAGACCAGUGGCGAAGGCGGGUCUCUGGACAGUUCCUGACGCUGAGGCACGAAGGCCAGGGGAGCAAACGGG